CCGAGUUUACAACUCCCAAACCCCUGUGAACAUACCUAUACGUUGCCUCGGCGGAUCAGCCCGCGUCCCCGUAAAACGGGACGGCCCGCCCGAGGACCCCUAAACUCUGUUUUUAGUGGAACUUCUGAGUAAAACAAACAAAUAAAUCA
rnacentral:misc_RNA from 1 species